rnacentral:rRNA from 1 species
AGCAGCCGCGGUAAUUCCAGCUCCAAUAGCGUAUAUUAAAGUUGUUGCAGUUAAAAAGCUCGUAGUUGAAUUUCGGGGUUAGUAGGUUGGUCGUGCCACUGGUACGUACUGGUCUUACUGAUUCCUCCUUCCUGAUGAACCGUAAUGCCAUUAAUUUGGUGUUGCGGGGAAACUGGACUGUUACUUUGAAAAAAUUAGAGUGUUUAAAGCAGGCUAACGCCUUGAAUACAUUAGCAUGGAAUAAUGAAAUAGGACGUUCGAUCUUAUUUUGUUGGUUUCUAGGAUUGACGUAAUGAUUAAUAGGGAUAGUUGGGGGCAUUAGUAUUCAAUUGUCAGAGGUGGAAAUUCUUGGUAUUUAUUGAAGAACUAACUACUGCGAGAGCAUUUGACCAAGGAUGUUUUCAUUAAUCUAAGAACGAAAGUUAGGGGAGU